AACUGAAGAUGAGUCGUGGUCUGACUUGGUCUCCUUCUCAUCCUGAACCUUUCCUCAGAGCUGGUCUCAUCAUGAGCUUCACAGAGAAACCUUCUGACUUCAGUGACUCCUCACAGGAAACUGUAUUAAAAUGUGAUUUGUUGUUUUUUAUGGUAAAAUAAAAUCUUUUUAUUAAA